UUUCAAUUAUACAAAGCAAAAUUUUCCUUUGGGCUUAAACCAGUUUGAACUGUGUUUAUGUUCCAUCAUUUACAACUCAAAGAAUCUUUCUUAACAGAAAGAAGUAUCAAGGAUGGUACCCCGGCCAACAGUUAGGUAUUUUUCUCUUUGCAGAGUUGAGCUUUGUGCAGUACAGAAUUCACUGUUGAAUGGACUGUAGACAUGCCUGGGAUAAAGAAAGCAACAAGGGUCUCUGUAUCUUGAGGCUCCUUGCCUGGCAGGGAAUUCAGCCCUGAAUGUGGCCAUAAUACAAUAAACUAACAGCAUGAGACAGUGCUUCAUAAACUUAAGUCACCAGUAUUCCAUCUCGGAGAUGUUUUUGGGACGUAUUCACCAGUAGAUCUUAUAAUUACUUGCUUGUUAAAUUUUUAUACUAUUGUAAUCAUGCAGCAUUUAUGAAUAAUACAUGCUGUCAUUUAGGGGACACGUAUCAUUUCAAUUGUAUUAAAAUAACUAUACAUGGGUAGCGAAAUAAAAACAGCGUCCAUCCACGUGUUAACUAAAAUCUUCUUACCUCUGCCAGUGAUAGGCACCUUAAACUCUGAAAAAUUAAUAUGCAAUAUGCACAUAUAAGGUUUUACAGGAGAACAAGAGAAGGUGAGAGGGCCCCCUGAGCAGAUUCACAUUUUGGAAGAAUCACUUUGGCAGAAGAGGGACAGGCAGUUUGAGGGAAUGAGUGUGAGGCUGCAAUUCCUCUUAAAAUGCUACUGAAAAAUGCCUGUGAGAAUCAUCCAAGGUACUUCUAAGAUGGCAUUGGUGGGAAUGGAUCCAGAGAUGUUUAAGGGCUAGAAUCAUCAAGGCUUGGUGCCUGCUCUGAGUGAAGUGAACACAUACUAAGAGUUUAGUUGAUUAGGCUAAUGCUAGUGUGCCAUUUAGUAGAGCAGGAGAUCAGAAGGAAGAGAAAGCAUAGGGAUGAGUUAGGGGAGGUUAAAAAUAGUUUCUGGGAAAAAAAGCACUUCAUCGAUUUAUGGUAGAGCAGGUGGAAGGUCUUACAGACAAUAUAGACCGGAUUCCUGAAAACUCUGUUUGCAAAACCAAAACUUGUGCUCCAAUAUGGAUGGCAACAGGAAAGAAUCAGGAAUUCCAAGUAGCAAGAAAAAGCUUUCAUAACUCUGUAUGGUGACAGAUGUUAAUGAAACUUAUUUUAGUGACUGUUUCACAAUAAAUACACAGAUUGAAUCAUUAUGCUGUACAUCUGAAACAAAUACAAUGUUUUAUGUCAAUUACACCUUAAUGACUUAAAAUAAAAUUCCCUUCUCUGAUGCCCACCAACCCAGUUUAUUUCCCCUUCCCCAAGGUUAAUGACUAGUAUGAACUUGUAUGCCUUUCAAGUUCAUCCUUUAAAAAAAUUGAUUAUGCAGUAUUUCAUAAGUAUAAAAUCUUUAUGAAGGAUAAUAUUAUAAAUACACGUGCAUGUCACCACCACUUAAAAAACAAAACUCUCUUUCCCAGGAAGGCAUAACCCCUCGUUGUGAGCUGUGAUUUUCUAUCCUUUUUCAGAACAACUAUUGUUCAGGUUUCUACAUUGUUUAGAACUUUAAAUAUCAUCCUAAACUGUAAUCUAUAGCUUGCCUUUUUCACUCAAAAUUUUGUCCCCGAGAUUAAUUCACUGCAUUCAUAUAGAUGUAAUUAGUUGUUUUACUGCUACAUAGUCCUUUUUGUGUCUUCCACAAUUUUUGCUGUUUUCGUAUUGAUGGGUAGUAGAGUUUAUUAUUAACAUUAUUAUUUUUUAUUGAGUUUUAUCGGAGUAUAGGUGGCUUACAAGGUUGUGUUAGUUUCAGGUGCACAGCAAAGUGAAUCAGCCGUGCAUACACAUACAUAUCCAUUAGUGGUCAGAUUCUGAUCCUAUACAGACUAUCGCAGAGUGUUGAAUAGAUCUCCCCAGGCUAUAUAGUAGGUCCCUGUUACUGAUCGAUUUCAGAUAAGGACGUUCUUGCAUAUAUCUCUUCAGACACAGCAAGCAAAGUUUAUCUAGGAUGAAAUUGCUGAGUCACGGUAUCCUUGCAUCUUAAAACUUUACAGUUGGUAAGGAAUUGCUCUCCAAAGCAGUUGUACUAAUUGACACUCUUCCCAAGAGAAAAUGAGCUUUCCUCUUGUUCCAUAGCCCUCCCCAAACUUGCAAUUGUUAAAUUUUAAAUGUUUUGCCCAUCUAAGAGGUGUUAAAAUGGCCAUUUCCUUGUAAAUUUUAGCUUUCUUCUCCCCAGAUUACUCAUGCCUUGGAUCAUCUUUGCUGCAUUUUUUUUUUUUUUUUUUUUUUGGCUGGUAUGUUUUCAUUUUUUCAGAACAACAUCUGUUCAUGUCUUUGGCCAUUUUUCUACUAGGUAGCUUGUUUUGUUUUUCUUACUGAUUCCAGGAAUUAUUAAAUGAAUCCCCAAAUGUGAAAUCUUAGUGGAAACAUUUAUAUGGGAAUCAAGAGAGUCCUUUGGAAAGAUGAACACAAAAAUAUUAGAAAUGAUUGGCCAGUGGGGACCUGCCGUAGAGCACAGAAAACUCUACCCAGUAUUCUCUGAUAAUCAGUGUGUGGAAAGAAUCUGAGAGAGAAUGGAUGUGUGUUUAUGUAUGACUGGGUCACUUUUUGGUAUAGCAGAAAUUAUCCCAGCCUUGUAAAUUAACUAUACUUUAAUAAAACUUUUACAAACAUUUAAAAACUAAAAAAGUACUAGAAUAAAUAUUGUUCGGUAUCUCGGGUGUAUAGCUCUACACACCUAUGGAGGCAAGUUUACACAUUGUGACAAAACACACAUUGCUUCCAUGUAUUUCUGGUGUUAAUAACAAGUCCCUUGCCCUCAUUAAAUCAUCAGCCACAUUUCCUUAUUUUGUUUUUUCAUCAGUCUCCAUCUCCUGCUCCAUGGCCCCAGCCUGCUCCAAGCUGGUCCUUGCCAAACUCUUUUAUCAGAGCAGAUACAUCAAAUGCUCAGUGUGUAUCCUUAUGGUGGCUUUUAACCCAACAGCUCAGGCAAGAAUGUUCUGGGUGUGGGGGCAAGGUUCCUAUCGUCACCAAAAUUAAAAUCUCUGUCAUUUUAUUGAGCACCUACAAUGUGUCAGAUGAUAUACUGCACAAGAGGCAUUAGACGAAAAAAGAUGUUUAAUUCCAAUUUAUAGAUCAUUGAUCUGAAACCGGAAAGGUCAGAGAGUCUCUCUGUGCUCCCAGGCAGGGUCUGGACUUGUACCCAGCCCUUUCUGACAUUUAACACGAUGCUGCCCACUACAAAGAGUAGAUCUGUGGGAUGCAGUUGCUACCAUGUAUCCUAGUCAGAUACGAUAUUUUUUCAAUCAUUCUGCCUGCGAUUUCUCUGAGCUAUUUUUUAAAGGACUGAAAAAUCCUGCUUUGCUGGCUCGAUCUUCAUGGGGUGUAUUUUCAAGGUUGUGUCUGUUUAGCUGAGGCUGUGCUCCAACCAUCCCACAACGAGACAUGUGAAUCAAAAGUCCUUUUUAUUGAUCUUCCAAGACAGAGGGCUGGAGAGAUGUUCCUUCUGGUCUGAUCUCUGCUGGACUCUCAUGUAUCAGUGGUCGGCUGAGGGACAAGCUGGUUUCUGGACGUUGGAUGGUCUCACGGGUGUUUCUGGCAGCGGGCUGUCCUAAUGUGGUUUCCACAGGCUAGCUGGGGCUCUUUCAUAUGGUAAUCUUAGGAUUCCAAGAACAGCAAGUGGGCAAGCCCUACCCACAAGUGCUUUUAAACUUCUGGCUAAUACCCUAUUCGCCAAAGCAAGUCACAGGGCCACCUUAUUUUCACAGGAUGGACAAAUACAAACACUUCACUCUGUCCCAUAGCAAAGCAGAUGGCAUUCAAGCACGGGGAGAUAUUGGAGCCAUUUGCAAACUAUGACAAUUAUGAUUUGCUAUUUUUGUUUGUUUGUUUUAUUUGCUGUUUUGCACUUUCUGGAAAUCAUGAAGUGGUGACAAUCUUUCAAGUGAACAUGCCUUCUGCAAAUGUUCAAAGACUGCUUUCUACAGAUGUCUUCUGUGGGGUGUCACAAACCCCUCUGGCUUCAGUUAGAAAAAGAACAUUUUCAGGUCUUAGUGUUGAUGGGAAAUCUCUAAUUAUUCAUGAGCCAUUUGUUUCUCAUGUCACCUCAAAUGUCCCACCCCUCCAUCCCAUCUCCUGCAGAAUAUCACAACUGGGAUCAAAAUCUCUCUGCUGCUUAUUGUACUGUGAUUCUGUUGUUUUAUUGACUUAAACUCACUUAGGUGGAUACUACCUUAGAGGUGGUGUUAAUACCUUCACUAAAGCUCCAGGAAUGAUUUUAAAAUAAUAGCCUCUGAACAGGGUGUAUAUAUAUAUAUACANAUACUUUCUCGAUUAUUCUGGAAUUCCGGCAUCUGUACCUCCUUAUUAACCAGAACCUCGUGCUUCAUUGAUGUAAGAAAAACAAAUGGACACACACACACACACACACACACCUACUAUAUAACUUCCAAAUUAUGCCAUAAAAUUGAUACAUAUUUCAUCUACUUACAAGGAAAUGGCAUGUGAGAAAAUUGUUUAUAUAAAUUGAUUUAGAUGCAAAGAUACUGGUUUACCAAUAAGUGGCUGAGCAAACCUAUCUGAACUAAAUGUAUGUAAUCUAAAAAAAGCUCCCAGGCUAGGGGUCGAAUCAGAGCUACAGCUGCCGGCCUACACCACAGCCACAGCAAUGUGGGAUCCGAGCAGCAUCUGCCACCCACACCACAGCUCAUGGCAUUGCAUGAUCCUCAACCCACUGAGCGAGGCCAGGGAUUGAACCCAAGUCCUCAUGGAUACUAGUUGGGUUUGUUAACCACUGAGCCAUGAUGGGAACUCCCAAUUUUAAGCUCUUAAAUUCACCUGUACAAACCUCUUUGGGCACGUAUCGCCCACCAGACACUGGGAUCCCCGGUGCUGUGGAAACUGAAUCUGACAUUAAUGGGAUUUUUACAAAGACAAAAAAAAA
rnacentral:lncRNA from 1 species